GGGAGAUGCUUUGGGGUGGACAGGAUUUUGUCCUGCUGGCUCCAGUCAGGAGAUGGGAUGAGUGGCAAGGGGCAGCCUUGCAGCUGGGGGGGCGUGUUGAUGCUGCAACAAGUGGUGAAGCUGGAACAGGAAGCUGGUGCUUCACAAACAGAUUUAUUGUUGUGAGUGGGGCAAAAGUCCCAGGGACAGCGGUGCCUGUGUGUGGGCAGGUUUGACUUGUAUAACCUGCCUUUGCUGGGACUUUGGAUGGAAUUUUCAGUGGCACAAAAGGAAGUUCAGUGCCUGAAUCCUGCUGUGAUUUUGCCUUUUAAGUUUAAUGUUGCUGUUUCCCAUCCUCUUCAGGCCUCAGGGAACCCUCCCAGGCAGGCCAUGCUUGCAGUGAUGUGAAGAAAGGACAGGUUUUGGCAGAGAGACCUCCAAGUGCACAUGCUGAAGUGGUGGCUGGUCAGAAACAACACCAAAGUUCAAAUGAAAUCAAGGACUUGGAGAUUUUGCAUCCUGCCCCUGCUGCAUGUGUCCUACCAGAGUGUUUUGGGGAAGCUGGUGAGCCAGCCAAUGCCGUGGACAUAGGAAAAAGGACAUCUCCAGUGCCCUCUUAUGUCCCCUGAAGAUUUUGUACUGGGUGGCAGUCCUCCCAGAGGGAUGUGCACAGGCCACCUGGAUGGGCAGGUGAUGUCAAAUGUCCUUGUCCUGCCUAAUUCAGGGAGGCAUGAGCUGAAAAAAGAAGUGUUUUCCCCUCGUGUGCUUUCCUGGGAGUAGUAGUGGCACAAGUGCCAGGGAGUUUGCUGUGGCCUCUGAGCCGCUCCAGCCUUUGACAGGGGUGUUGAUUUCCCUUGACUCCCAGCCAGAGCCACCUCUGAAAUGGUGGUAUGGGUCAGGCUGAGCUGAGACCAAGGAACCCAGGGAGAGUGGAGGCCCCUUUGUCACCCACCUGGUCGUGGGGCAGCCUCCUUGGCCACUCUGGGUGGAGGUCAGCUCCUCUGCUGUCCACAGAAGGCUCCUGCUGUGGGUUCUGUCCAUUGGGUGAUGUUCCUCCAGGGAAAAAGCCCUCUGAGACCCACUCUUGUCCUUCCAUGAGCUAGGAGAAGACUGUUCUGCUGAGGCAGGAGCCAGUAAGAAAAGUGACUACUUCUUCUUCCCCUUUAUUUUUUAUGGAUUUAUUUUUUCACUUUGCUGAAUUUAUUUUCACUUUGUUCUUUUUUUUUUAUUUACUUGGCUCAACUCCAUCAUUUUUAUUUGCCUCCCCUGUGUGCUCUUCAGACUGACAGUGCUUUUCACCCUGCUCUCUGCACCUCCCUCCCUGCUUGGUUGUUCCUUGGGUGCUGGAGUUCAUUCCUGUGUGUGGAACACUGCUCAGCAGAGGAAGCUGUGGGAGGGCCAUCCCAGCUGGGUGGGUGCCUGUGCCAGGCUGCUGUUACCAUGUGUGACUCAGGUGUCCCUCACUCCUGCUCCCAGACACUCGCUGACCUUUUCCUGCCAGCUCUGAGAUGGGGCCACAGGCCACCUCUCACGCAGCCUGUCCCUCUUUAGAGAUAUGAUAGAAUUCCUUUAUCUCCCAAUGCCAGGCAGGCCUGGGAUGCUCAGAGGUGCAGAUAACAUUGCUGCUGUGUGUACCAGGGGCUGGGCAAGCGAGCAGGAAGCCUCUCUUCUCCCUUAGAACUCAGCAGGACAGCCUGAUCAUAUCCCUGCCCUUGUUUUUAUUUCUGGGGGAUCCAGUUUCUCUUUCCAACCCGUUAGCAAAUCUCAGUGCAGCCCUUCUGGGUCCUGGUGACCGCCUGGCUGUGCAAAGUCCUUGAGGAAGGGGCAGCAGCCAAAGCCAGCUGGCAGGGGUGGCUGGCUACAGCUCCACCAGGAGCUGCAGGACUCUGGAGCAAGGAUGGGUGGAUCCUGGGAGGAUGGGUGCGUUCAGGCUGUGGUGCAAAAGCUGGUGGAGAAGCCAGGAGGUGCAUGAAAAAGCAGUUCAUGGCCUGGCAAAGGAGAUAAGGAGAAAAUUGAUCCCUGGCUAAACAACCAGGGCUCUUGCUCCUUCAGGUCUGUCCCUCCAGGGGCAUAGUGCAAAUGUAAAUGUCCAGGUAUUUAUGUGCUCUGGCAUAAACCCAAAACUACUUUUGGUACUAUCACAGAAGAAACAGCAAAACUGUAGUCACCAUUAGCACAGAAUACUUGUGAUGCUCCCAUCUAACACCCCAGUGCAUUUUCCUGUGAUAUUUUAUGGUGAGAACAUAAAGCCUGGCAUCUUUCAGUUUUAUGAUUGAAAGAUGUUUACAACAACAAAACUAUGUGGGAAUUCAGUAUUUUCCACAUCAUCAGAUUAAAAGCCCGUCUCUCAACUUAUUUACUGCUCCACCUAAGGCUUUUACUGCACCUGUCUUCACAAGCAUCGGAGCAUUCAUGUUUCGUCUGUCUUUUUGUGGCCAGAUGAAGUCAUCUUGGAGCAUGGGUGCGGUGGUGAAAGACACACACAGUGAAUUUACAUCUCUUGGAUAAAGGGAGAAACUGAAGAAAGAUUUCCCCUGUGAGCUGGCUUUUAUCGUCAGUGUGAACAUCUUAGUCAGCACAAGUUCAGACUUCUAAAAUUGUGCAGCCGUGUGCUGGGAGAGCUACAGCCCCUGCAGCUUCCUGCUUCCCUGGAUCAGCCGAGGGUAAAGGCUCCAGGAUCUGGUGCUCCUCUGGCAGGAAUGGCUGAGCUCAGGCGAGAUGGAUUGGUAUCUUUCAUCCAGAGCACCAUCAAGAGUAAAGAAAAAUUGUAUGGUGAUCAUGGGAAGUCUGACUGGGAAGCGUGUGAUGCAGGCCAUCAAGUUUUAAACUUCAAGGAACCCUUUGAAAUCCCAGGGUUUCCCGUGUGCUGCCUGGUCACUGUUUCCAUCAGCUGUCCCUUCACCAGAUUCCUGGGAAGAUGUCACCUGGCAAUUACAUGCACCACAGGUUCCCCGAGGUUCAUGCUCUUCCCUGCAGAGCCUUGCAAAGCUUCCAGGAUGGUUGGGACUGACUGAAGAGCAGUAGGAGUUGCUUUAUCCUCCUCUUCCUCUCCAGGCUACAUUCCCUGCUAAUACAGGCAGCUCCCUCCUGUGCUGAGGGUAGUUUCCAUGGAGUCAGGAAAUAUGAGAAGCAGAGAAGUGGGAAACUCUGGAUCUGCUAGACAAGCCUCGACUCUCCUUGGGGGCCUGAAUGUGUGCAAAAGCUGUGGGUGGUCUGAAUUUUGGGUGCUUGAGCAGGAGGCUUCGGAUGUUGGUGUGGAUAUCCAAGCUGCUUUGAGAAUACUUUAGGCUGAAUGAGAAGUGAAUUCCCUAAAUCUCUCCCCUAGGGUCUCACUGACUUUCAGCAAAAUCAUCCCUCAGAGGCCACUCAGCAAUCUUCAUUCAUGGAGUUCUCAGCGAUGCUCUGCUGAAGAGUCCCCUUUGAAAAGGUUUUUGUGCUGUAAUCUGCUGCCUGGUUACUCAACUGGUGCAGCUUACAGACCUCCGCUGGUUGUUGCACGUCUUUUAAUUUUUAAGGGUUUAUUUCAGCUCCUUUGUGAAGUGUAAGGAAAUGGAUGAUUAGCAAAAUUCUUCCCAGUAUUUUAGAAGCAUUAGUAAAUGUUGAAUAAAGGGCAAUCACACUGUUGUUUUCAUGGGAACUGUGAAAUAAAGACUGCUAGAUUAGGUGCAAUCCUGAUCUUAAAGUCACAAUUCUUACACAAUGUUUUUUGCACUCUGGUGCAAAAACUCGUAUGUGAGAAUGUGUGCUAGCAAUGAGCCAAGUAAUUCAGCACUGCAGGAAUCCCACCAACUUCAUCUCCAAGCUGGUAAUGAACAUGGGCCUGGACACGUCCAACUGAUGUGUUUGCCUGCAGAAAUUAUCUAUGUGCAGUCAAUGACAGCAGCAUCCUUCAGAUGUUGGGUUUGAUGCAGUGAGCAUACGUGACACUUCUGCUUUGCUUCCUCUUCUUGCUGUGCCCUGGACUCAGCUGUGCUCUCCUUUCUGUAAUCUAGCCAGAGACACCCUGUUCCUGGGAAAAGGCACCCUGGGCCUGGAAAAAGGCGAGCUGGGCUGCUGUGUUGGAGAACUUAUGUCAGCCUCCAGCAGCUAGCUGAUCCCCUGUGCCUUGCUGCUCUUUUGCACGGCUUCAGUACCUUGAGCCAGUGUGUUUCCAGCUGGCAGUGGUGUGCCUGAGCAGGGCUGAACAGCAACUGCUUGGAGGACCAGAGCGGUGUGGUUGGAGCAGAGGUGCUUGCUGACGUAGCUGACUAGAUGAACUGGUUGACUGGUUAAACACUGGUGGCAAAAGAACUUGCAAAGCUGCUUUGCAGAAGUGGGUGGGUCUCAGCCACAUCCUCACUGGCUUUGGUAUUUGUCCUCAAGCCUGAUUUCCAUUUUCUGUACACCCUUUGCUUUCUGCUCUCCUUCUUUUUUGGUAGGAGAUGUCAGCCAGUAUGUUGUGGCAGCCUGCCAGAAGUGACUGGAGACAUUUGCUGGAUGAACAAAGCCUAUCCACUCCCUGUCCAGCCUGACAAUGACACAGAAGGCAUGGGGCACCCAGUCACAGUCCUGUUGCUCAUCUUUCAAACUGCAGGAGAUGAAUGGGAGAAGAGACCAUUUGUCCUGAUGACACCUCUUCAGGACACAUCCAUGUGAGCCCAAGGGACCAGAAAGAUCCCCACAUGGUUUAGUGAUGAUUGCUGUUGAAGACUGCAACCAAAACCCAGGAGCCACCCUCUUUUGGAGAAAGAGUUUGAGAGGUAGAGAGGAGGCAGGGGAGAAGUGAGUUUAUUUAGCAUUAUCCACUUAAGGUCUUCUCUAGUUGCUCUCAGAGCAUUUUCCAGAGGACACUGCUAUUCUUACCCUGCCUUAUCCCAUAGGGAAAAGCACAGCAGUAAGGUGGCUGAGCUGUGGUCAGUGCAAAGCCUGGAGAAGGAGGGAUUUUGCUCUCUGGGAUUUCAGCUAGGUGGUUGCUACCAGUUAAGUUAUAAGUCAUAUAAAAAUAUCUGUUCUAUUGUCUUUAUUUAGAAAUCACCAUUUCAAGUGAGAAGUGGGUAGAGGGAGAGUCAGCAAUCCCUGCUGCUUCCACUUCUUUUCCUUACUAGUCUGCCUGUCAAUUCCCUUUUACCAUUUUACAUGUGGUCACUUGAUACCAGCAGCUGUUUUGGGACAUCUCUAUCUGUCACAUCCUUCUUUUUACUUCAGUGUCUAAAACAAAACAAUUCAAAACCCCCCAACAUUAACAAAAUGUGAGUUUCCUCCCAAGUUCAGUUCUAAACACGUCACUUUAGUGAUGUCUAAACUACACAGCACUUGAUGAGCAAAACAUUACUAUCUUCUAGCCACAUUUGUUUUCCCUGUCUCCCAGAGCAUUAUAGUCACCCAGGGAGAACUGCGUGUUCUACUUCGCUGCUGUAAAGCUAUUAUGGGUAUGAAAAGUUCCCAUUAAUCUGCUCCACACAUGGAUGUUUCUGGAUAAAGUUCAGUAGCCAGAUCCCUCUUUCUUUGUGUGCAUCAAACGAAGCAGAAAAAUGCCUCCAAUUUAAAGACACCAAAUGAAUAACCAAAUAGAUGAGAUUAAUUUUUGUUUAAUCCACGUGGGCAGCGAAGCCAAUGGCCAAUGUUUGUGUGUGGACUUCUCCCGGGAGUUCAUUACCAGCCGAGUCUGUAAUAAGUUAAUGCAGAGAUUCCAUGGAAAUAGGGGGUUAAUUAUAUGCAGAGGAUGUUGGCCAAUGUACAGCUUUGAACAACAAAAAUAGCCCAAGUCUUCUGUUUUGGAUGUGGAAUCAAUUAACGAGGUCUGUGACAUGUACCAGAAUUUGUUAAGAUAGUUGUACUAUAACGAUACUUAUUUUCUUCUUCCUCUUCUUUUAAUUUUUUUAAAAUAAAAAGCUAAAGAAAAUAAGUGGGUAAUGGAAGGCAAGGGAGAGAAAGACAUGAGACUGGUAAUAAAACACUGGACUUUGGCCUGGGGCCAAGGCAGGCUUUUCAAUGGGUCUGAAGUUUGGACGGCAGCACAGUUUGAACCAGUUUUCACUAACUGUCCAAAAGGUUAUACUGUAAUAGAUGGAGAGAAGAGGUUGAUUUUAGUUUACCAACUCCCCUCUCUCUGCUGGCAGGAGUGUUAUGCUGCUAAGAUGCCGUAGUCAUUACACUGAUGGAUAUCAGCAUGUGGCGCGGCAUGCUGCAGAUUCAACUCCGAAGCUGAAACACAAAAAAUUCUCCUUGAUGCUGGUUUUAGAAUGAAUUGUAUGUAUGGCAGAGGAAGACCAGAUUACUUUUACUUCAGAGCAGUGAAACACACUUUUGGCUGUUACAAGUUUUCAAGGAGCCACUUAACCAGGUAGAAUACAAAUUUGAAAGAAAAAGAUCUGACCCUUUUUCACCCCAUUUCACUUUAGGACAAGCUCUGGGCAUGUUCCAGUCAUUUCUAAAGUCCCUCACUGUUUGUUUUUUUUCCUCACCCCCUUCUUCCAACUUGGUCCCUAAACAUAUUAAUUUGU